AACGAACGCUGGCGGCAUGCCUAACACAUGCAAGUCGAACGAGAUCUUCGGGUCUAGUGGCGCACGGGUGCGUAACGCGUGGGAAUCUGCCCUUUGGUUCGGAAUAACAGUUGGAAACGACUGCUAUUACCGGAUGAUGUCGUAAGACCAAAGACUUAUCGCCCAAGGAUGAGCCCGCGUAGGAUUAGCUAGUUGGUGGGGUAAAGGCCCACCAAGGCGACGAUCCUUAGCUGGUCUGAGAGGAUGAUCAGCCACACUGGGACUGAGACACGGCCCAGACUCCUACGGGAGGCAGCAGUGGGGAAUAUUGGACAAUGGGCGAAAGCCUGAUCCAGCAAUGCCGCGUGAGUGAUGAAGGCCUUAGGGUUGUAAAGCUCUUUUACCCGGGAUGAUAAUGACAGUACCGGGAGAAUAAGCUCCGGCUAACUUCGUGCCAGCCGCCGCGGUAA
rnacentral:rRNA from 1 species